rnacentral:rRNA from 1 species
GACGAACGCUGGCGGCGUGCUUAACACAUGCAAGUCGAGCGGUAAGGCCCUUUCGGGGGUACACGAGCGGCGAACGGGUGAGUAACACGUGGGUGACCUGCCCUCAGCUCUGGGAUAAGCCUGGGAAACCGGGUCUAAUACUGGAUAUGACUCCAUGACGCAUGUUGUGGGGUGGAAAGCCUUGUGCGGCUGAGGAUGGGCCCGCGGCCUAUCAGCCUGUUGGUGGGGUGANGGCCUACCAAGGCGACGACGGGUAGCCGGCCUGAGAGGGCGACCGGCCACACUGGGACUGAGACACGGCCCAGACUCCUACGGGAGGCAGCAGUGGGGAAUAUUGGACAAUGGGCGAAAGCCUGACCCAGCAAUGCCGCGUGUGUGAAGAAGGCC